UGGAUGGGGAUGGGGGCAGGGGAUGGAAAUCGACGCAUUCACCAUUCUGGCUGCCUUAGCCUUCUUAACAUUUUUAAUGUCCGUGUUGGCGCAGUUGCUUGCCAGCGUAACGACCACCGGGAAGGUCGGAAUUACGAGAUGUCACCGAAUCUCCGGUUUUACCUAGUGGGCUCGAUUUGGCUACAGUAUCGAGAACUAUUGAAGUAUUGAUUGAAAAAUUAAAAAGUAAGGAGGUUAAAUUAUGGGGUGGAAAUUCUUCAUGGGGAAAGGGUAACAGGGUUGGGAAGGAUAAUUAUUUUACAAAAAAGGACUUCUAGGUUAGGAAUUAAAGUAUAAAAAAUAAGCUCAUAAUUGAAAAAAAUAAUUAAGUAUAAUUAUCAAUUCGGAUACGACUAAUUAUUUCACUCUUAGCAACUUGGUAA